AUUGAACGCUGGCGGCAUGCUUUACACAUGCAAGUCGAACGGUAACAGGCCUUCGGGUGCUGACGAGUGGCGAACGGGUGAGUAAUGCAUCGGAACGUACCCAGAGGUGGGGGAUAACGCAGCGAAAGCUGUGCUAAUACCGCAUGUGAUCUGAGGAUGAAAGCGGGGGACCGAGCAGCAAUGUUUGCCUCGCGCCUUUGGAGCGGCCGGUGUCGGAUUAGCUAGUUGGUGGGGUAAAGGCCUACCAAGGCGACGAUCCGUAGCUGGUCUGAGAGGACGACCAGCCACACUGGGACUGAGACACGGCCCAGACUCCUACGGGAGGCAGCAGUGGGGAAUUUUGGACAAUGGGCGCAAGCCUGAUCCAGCAAUGCCGCGUGCGGGAAGAAGGCCUUCGGGUUGUAAACCGCUUUUGGCAGGAACGAAACGGUGUCCGCUAAUACCGGGCGCUAAUGACGGUACCUGCAGAAUAAGCACCGGCUAACUACGUG
rnacentral:rRNA from 1 species